rnacentral:rRNA from 1 species
CCUCAAAUCAGGUAGGACUACCCGCUGAACUUAAGCAUAUCAAUAAGCGGAGGAAAAGAAACUAACAAGGAUUCCCCUAGUAACGGCGAGUGAACCGGGAAGAGCUCAAAUUUGAAAUCUGGCGUGCUCAGUGCGUCCGAGUUGUAAUCUAUAGAAGCGUUUUCCGUGCCGGACCGUGUCCAAGUCCCUUGGAACAGGGUAUCAAAGAGGGUGACAAUCCCGUACUUGACACGACGACCGGUGCUCUGUGAUACGUUUUCUACGAGUCGAGUUGUUUGGGAAUGCAGCUCAAAAUGGGUGGUGAACUCCAUCUAAAGCUAAAUAUUGGCGAGAGACCGAUAGCGAACAAGUACCGUGAGGGAAAGAUGAAAAGCACUUUGGAAAGAGAGUUAAACAGUACGUGAAAUUGUUAAAAGGGAAACGAUUGAAGUCAGUCGUGACCGAGAGGCUCAGCCGGUUAUGCCGGUGUAUUCCCCUCGGUCGGGUCAACAUCAGUUUUGCCCGGUGGAUAAGGACGGCUGGAAGGUAGCACCCUCGGGUGUGUUAUAGCCUACCGUCGCAUACAUCGGGCGAGACUGAGGAAUGCAGCUCGCCUUUAUGGCCGGGGUUCGCCCACGUCCGAGCUUAGGAUGUUGACAUAAUGGCUUUAAACGACCCGUCUUGAAACACGGACCAAGGAGUCUAACAUAUCUGCGAGUGUUUGAGUGUCAAACUCGAGCGCGAAAUGAAAGUGAACGUAGGA